rnacentral:rRNA from 1 species
GACGAACGCUGGCGGCGUGCUUAACACAUGCAAGUCGAACGAAGAGCGAUGGAAGCUUGCUUCUAUCAAUCUUAGUGGCGCACGGGUGAGUAACGCGUAAUCAACCUGCCCUUCAGAGGGGGACAACAGUUGGAAACGACUUCUAAUACCGCAUACGAUCUAAUCUCGGCAUCGAGGAUAGAUGAAAGGUGGCCUCUACAUGUAAGCUAUCACUGAAGGAGGGGAUUGCGUCUGAUUAGCUAGUUGGAGGGGUAACGGCCCACCAAGGCGAUGAUCAGUAGCCGGUCGGAGAGGAUGAACGGCCACAUUGGGACUGAGACACGGCCCAGAAUCCUACGGGAGGCAGCAGUGGGGAAUCUUCCGCAAUGGACGAAAGUCUGACGGAGCAACGCCGCGUGAGUGAUGACGGCCUUCGGGUUGUAAAGCUCGGUUAAUCGGGACGAAAGGCCUUCUUGCGAAUAGUGAGAAGGAUUGACGGUACCGGAAUAGAAAGCCACGGCUAACUACGUG